UGAAGAUUUUUUUUUUAGGUUUAUAGGAGACGAAAGAAGGAUAGAAAAGAUUCAGAAAGAGGACCUGUGUUGUAACUACUCAGUUGUAGAAAAGAAGCCAGUGUAAUUUUCUCUUAUUUAAUGAAUUUUAUUUUAUCCGCAUAUUUUUUAUUUUGAUUUUUUUUUUUUUUGUAUUUAUAUCAGUUUUUGCUGAGGAGACGAAUUUUUGGUAAAAACCCGAUUCAACAGUUCCGUUGUAGAAUCCCAACAAUUCAACAAUAGUCAAUAUCAAAGCAGAUUGCAGAUUCAUAAAAUUCGAUAUCGGGGCGAGUACCGGAUUCCCACUAGCUUCACUCAGGAAUGAGAAUGAAGAUAUAUACACGUACUUACGCGCACAUAAUAUGGUAAGGGUGAGUUGUGGAUUUAGUUUGAAACAUAGUUAGUUAAUUUGGAUUCAGCAAAAAUUCGAUACGGGUAUAAUUCGGAUAAAAUUCAUCUUUUAAUUUUUAAAUUUGUUGAUAAAUACGGCUAAAAAAGGGGUUCGGUAAUUAUUAGGAUACGUGAUUUAUACGGAUAUUAUACGUUCACCAAUUAAAAAUUCGAAAUCAAAAAUUCAGCUAUAUAAUAAAUAUAUAUAAUAAUUAAUAUACUGUAUAUAUUAUUAUUAUAAUUUUUAUAUAUAGAUUAAAUAUAUUCAAAUAUUAAUAAU
rnacentral:lncRNA from 1 species